rnacentral:rRNA from 1 species
UGAGGAACAUGACCUUCGGCGGGGGAUAACCGGCCCAACGGCCGGGUAAUACCGCGUACGACCACAUGGGGACAUCCCUGAGUGGUGAAAGCAGCAAUGCGCCGAUGGAGUGCCUCGCGGCCUAUCAGCUAGUUGGUGAGGUAACGGCUCACCAAGGCGACGACGGGUAGCUGGCCUGAGAGGAUGGCCAGCCACAUUGGGACUGAGACACGGCCCAGACUCCGUAGGGAGG